UCCAGACUCCUACGGGAGGCAGCAGUGGGGGAUAUUGCACAAUGGGGGAAACCCUGAUGCAGCGACGCCGCGUGGGUGAAGAAGUAUUUCGGUAUGUAAAGCCCUAUCAGCAGGGAAGAAAGAAGACGGUACCUGACUAAGAAGCCCCGGCUAACUACGUGCCAGCAGCCGCGGUAAUACGUAGGGGGCGAGCGUUAUCCGGAUUCACUGGGUGUAAAGGGAGCGUAGACGGCCGUGCAAGCCAGGAGUGAAAGCCCGGGGCCCAACCCCGGGACUGCUCUUGGAACUGUGCGGCUGGAGUGCGGGAGGGGCAGGCGGAAUUCCUGGUGUAGCGGUGAAAUGCGUAGAUAUCAGGAGGAACACCGGCGGCGAAGGCGGCCUGCUGGACCGCGACUGACGUUGAGGCUCGAAAGCGUGGGGAGCGAACAGGAUUAGAUACCCUAGUAU
rnacentral:rRNA from 1 species